AAUAUUGGUCAAUGGAGGCAACUCUGAACCAGCCAAGUCGCGUGAAAGAUGACGGUCUUAUGGAUUGUAAACUUCUUUUGCAGGGGAAUAAAUAGCGGUACGUUUACCGUUUUGCAUGUACCCUGCGAAUAAGGAUCGGCUAACUCCGUGCCAGCAGCCGCGGUAAUACGGAGGAUCCGAGCGUUAUCCGGAUUUAUUGGGUUUAAAGGGUGCGCAGGCGGGAGAUUAAGUCGGCGGUGAAAUUUUGCAGCUCAACUGUAAAAGUGCCUUCGAUACUGGUUUCCUUGAGUGCGGAUGAAGUAGGCGGAAUUUGUGGUGUAGCGGUGAAAUGCUUAGAUAUCACGAGGAACUCCGAUUGCGCAGGCAGCUUACUAAACCACUACUGACGCUCAGGCACGAAGGCGUGGGGAUCAAACAGG
rnacentral:rRNA from 1 species